rnacentral:snRNA from 1 species
AUACUUAUCUCUCAGGGGAGAUGACCAUGAUCAUGAAGGUGGUUUUCCCAGGGCGAGGAUUAUCCAUUGCACUCCGGGUGUGCUGACCCCUUCGAUUUCCCCAAAUGUGGGAAACUUGACUGCAUAAUUUGUGGUAGUUGGCACUCUCCCCU